rnacentral:tRNA from 1 species
GCAAUGAUAGCUUAAAUAAAAGCAUUGGUCUUGUAAGCCAAAAAUGAAUUUAAAUAUUCUCGUUGUC